UACAGAGGUCUCAAGCGUUGUUCGGGUUCAUUGGGCGUAAAGGGUGCGUAGGCGGCGCGGUAAGUCGGGUGUGAAAUCUUGGAGCUUAACUCCGAAACUGCAUUCGAUACUGCCGUGCUUGAGGACUGGAGAGGAGACUGGAAUUUACGGUGUAGCGGUGAAAUGCGUAGAUAUCGUAAGGAAGACCAGUGGCGAAGGCGGGUCUCUGGACAGUUCCUGACGCUGAGGCACGAAGGCCAGGGGAGCAAACGGG
rnacentral:rRNA from 1 species